rnacentral:rRNA from 1 species
GAUGAACGCUGGCGGCGUGCCUAAUACAUGCAAGUCGAGCGAACGGACGAUAAGCUUUCUUCUCUGAUGUUAGCGGCGGACGGGUGAGUAAUACGUGGAUAACCUACCUAUAAGACUGGGAUAACUUCGGGAAACCGGAGCUAAUACCGGAUAAUAUUUUGAACCGCAUGGUUCAAAAGUGAAAGACGGUCUUGCUGUCACUUAUAGAUGGAUCCGCGCUGCAUUAGCUAGUUGGUAAGGUAACGGCUUACCAAGGCAACGAUGCAUAGCCGAACUGAGAGGGUGAUCGGCCACACUGGAACUGAGACACGGUCCAGACUCCUACGGGAGGCAGCAGUAGGGAAUCUUGCGCAAUGGGCGAAAGCCUGACGGAGCAACGCCGCGUGAGUGAUGAAGGUCUUCGGAUCGUAAAACUCUGUUAUUAGGGAAGAACAUAUGUGUAAGUAACUGUGCACAUCUUGACGGUACCUAAUCAGAAAGCCACGGCUAACUACGUG